CGGAAAAGUCUCCGAAUUGGAUCGAGGUUUUGGCUACCCCACCAUUGUCAGGCAUCCCGAGCGCGUUCCCGAAGUCGGAAUCGGCAGAGGUGAGCCGGGACAGCCUUCUUCCUCCGCCCAGCCGCCACAGUAAUUUGUCGUCAAGUCUGCCACAGGAGGAUAUUUUGUUCUGGGUUAACCUGCCUUUUUACCUCGCAGGUUGUUUAUCAAUAUUAUGUAAUUUUAAUUACUCCUAGAAUUUUCGCAUGUGUUAGCAGUAAUUAUUUGAAAUUGGUCUGUAAUAUUAUAUUCAUGUUGGACCUAUAAACUUAAUAUUUUAAGUCUGUUUGA